CUACGGGCCGCAGCAGUGGGGAAUAUUGCACAAUGGGGGGAACCCUGAUGCAGCAAUGCCGCGUGAAGGAUGAAGUAUUUCGGUAUGUAAACUUCUUUCAGUAGGGAAGAAAAAAAUGACGGUACCUACAGAAGAAGCCCCGGCUAACUAUGUGCCAGCAGCCGCGGUAAUACAUAGGGGGCAAGCGUUAUCCGGAAUUACUGGGUGUAAAGGGUGCGUAGGCGGUCUUGUAAGUCAGGUGUGAAAACCCGGGGCUCAACCCCGGGAAUGCACUUGAAACUACAAAACUAGAGUACAGGAGAGGUAAGCGGAAUUCCUAGUGUAGCGGUGAAAUGCGUAGAUAUUAGGAAGAACACCAGUGGCGAAGGCGGCUUACUGGACUGAAACUGACGCUGAGGCACGAAAGCGUGGGGAGCGAACAGGAUUAGAUACCCCUGUAGUC
rnacentral:rRNA from 1 species